rnacentral:rRNA from 1 species
UUAUUUGUAUUUAUUAUAACAUUAAUCUGUAUGUAAAUUUUUAUUAAUAAAGUUUCUAAAUGAUAUUUUAUUUAUUAAUUGCAGUAGAUAGUUUUAUUGAUAUUAAGUUAAUUUAGAUUUAGUAAAUGUUAAAAGGUUUGGUAAAAGCUGUGCCAGCAUCCGCGGUUAUUCAGCAAAAUCAAAUAAGUAUUAUUGGCUUUUAAGUAAUUAAUAUUAAUUGAUGAUAUAUAAGUUUAAAUAUUUUAAGGUAAAAUAUUUAUAAUAUUUUGAAGAUAUAUUGUUUAGUAUGAUUAUUGCGAAAUUAAAAAUAUAAACUAGGAUUAGAUACCCUAUUAUUUUUAUUGUAAAUUUGUGAAGCUAGAGUAUUAAUAGUUAAGAUCUUUAAACUUAAAGAAUUUGGCGGUAUUAUAAUCUAUUUAGAGGAAUCUGUUAUGUAAUCGAUAAUCCACGUUGAACCUUACUUAUAUUAAUUCUUGUAUACCGCUGUUUAAGAAUAUAUUUUUAGGUUAUUUUCUUAAUAUUUUAUUAGUUUAUAUUUCAAGUCAAGGUGCAGUUAUAUAUAAGUUGAAUAAUGGAUUACAAUAAAUUUUAUUUAUUAUGGAUUUUUAUUGAAAUAUGAAUUGAAGGUGGAUUUAAUUGUAAUUAUUUAAAGAAUAUUAAAAUGAUUUAUAGCUCUAUAAUAUGUACACAUUGCCCGUCACUCUCAUUAUAAGAUGAGAUAAGUCGUAACAAAGUAGGUGUAUUGGAAAAUGUACCUAGAAAGAAUUA